UGGGGAAUAUUGGACAAUGGGCGAAAGCCUGAUCCAGCCAUGUCGCGUGUGUGAAGAAGGUCUUCGGAUUGUAAAGCACUUUAAGUUGGGAGGAAGGGCAUUAACCUAAUACGUUAGUGUUUUGACGUUACCGACAGAAUAAGCACCGGCUAACUCUGUGCCAGCAGCCGCGGUAAUACAGAGGGUGCAAGCGUUAAUCGGAAUUACUGGGCGUAAAGCGCGCGUAGGUGGUUUGUUAAGUUGGAUGUGAAAUCCCCGGGCUCAACCUGGGAACUGCAUUCAAAACUGACUGACUAGAGUAUGGUAGAGGGUGGUGGAAUUUCCUGUGUAGCGGUGAAAUGCGUAGAUAUAGGAAGGAA
rnacentral:rRNA from 1 species